GAUGAACGCUGGCGGCGUGCCUAAUACAUGCAAGUCGAGCGAACGGACGAGAAGCUUGCUUCUCUGAUGUUAGCGGCGGACGGGUGAGUAACACGUGGAUAACCUACCUAUAAGACUGGGAUAACUUCGGGAAACCGGAGCUAAUACCGGAUAAUAUUUUGAACCGCAUGGUUCAAAAGUGAAAGACGGUCUUGCUGUCACUUAUAGAUGGAUCCGCGCUGCAUUAGCUAGUUGGUAAGGUAACGGCUUACCAAGGCAACGAUGCAUAGCCGACCUGAGAGGGUGAUCGGCCACACUGGAACUGAGACACGGUCCAGACUCCUACGGGAGGCAGCAGUAGGGAAUCUUCCGCAAUGGGCGAAAGCCUGACGGAGCAACGCCGCGUGAGUGAUGAAGGUCUUCGGAUCGUAAAGCUCUGUUAUUAGGGAAGAACAUAUGUGUAAGAAACUGUGCACAGCUUGACGGUACCUAAUCAGAAAGCCACGGCUAACUACGUG
rnacentral:rRNA from 1 species